rnacentral:rRNA from 1 species
AUUGAACGCUGGCGGCAUGCUUUACACAUGCAAGUCGAACGGCAGCGCGGGCUUUGGCCUGGCGGCGAGUGGCGAACGGGUGAGUAAUACAUCGGAACGUGCCCAGUAGUGGGGGAUAGCUCGGCGAAAGCCGGAUUAAUACCGCAUACGACCUGAGGGUGAAAGCGGGGGAUCUUCGGACCUCGCGCUAUUGGAGCGGCCGAUGGCAGAUUAGCUAGUUGGUGGGGUAAAGGCCUACCAAGGCGACGAUCUGUAGCUGGUCUGAGAGGACGACCAGCCACACUGGGACUGAGACGCGGCCCAGACUCCUACGGGAGGCAGCAGUGGGGAAUUUUGGACAAUGGGCGAAAGCCUGAUCCAGCAAUGCCGCGUGUGUGAUGAAGGCCUUCGGGUUGUAAAGCACUUUUGGCGGGAACGAAAAGGACUGUGCCAAUACCACGGUUCGAUGACGGUACCCGCAGAAUAAGCACCGGCUAACUACGUG